UUGGGAGAUUCUGAUGAUGAAUCCUGUUAGUUAUUUACUAAACAGUUGGUAGAAAUCAGCAGUGAAGCUUCUGGGUGCUGCCUUUGCUUGGUGGGAAGGUUUUGAUGCCCUGUACCUGCUACAGCGCUACUGUUGGGUGAAGUGUGCCACAGCCUAAUUCUGCUGUAUGCGGGUCCCUGCAAGCUCUACUGCAGAUGGAGAAACAAGAGCAACAUGCCUUCUCUUCUUUCUCAAGAAACAGAUCCCUGAGGCCUCCAGGAAGGUAGUUAACCAAUUGUCACCCACACCUCCUCCAGAGCAUGAGCCCACUGACUCCUGACCUCCCCCCCGCCACGUCUUCCCAUGCCAACAAUUAAUACUCAUCUGGAAACCAGGAACCAAAAGAAAAUAAUACAUUGUACUCAAAACCACCCAGAAAGGGAUGUGGGAAGAUAGUUCAGCUGGUGAACUGCUUGCUGUAUAAACACAAAGACCACCAGUGCCCAUGCAAAAUGGGUGUGGUGAUGCAAUUCUGCUGCUGCUGUUCUUUCUUUCUCUCGCUCUGUCUCUCUGUCUCUGUCUCUUUGUCUCUUUGUCUCUCUGUCUCUCUCUCUGUCUCUCUCUCUGUCUCUGUCUCUCUCUCUCUCACACACACACACACACACACACACACACACACACACACACACACCAUUUCUAGAGGCUUUCCACUCUUGGUGUCAAAUCCAGAGCACUUCUGGAGACUUGCACAUCCCCUGAGCAGGCAAUGGCUUCUCUAGCAUCAUCUCUUUCAAUGUCUUUGUUUCAACGGCCUGAUCUCUCACUGUUCCUUCCUACCCCAAAACUGUAACACUUAACUUAGUAGAUACUCUGCUUUAUCCCAAUCUCCUACCUCUCUUAGAUUCUGAUCCAAUGUCAUUUGCCAGAAAAUCUUUCCAUGAGCAUUCUCCUCCACUAUUCUCAUUGGUCACCAUCUGAGCACCCCCCUUAUCCAACACAAAAUAACUCCAUGAAAAGAACAUACUUUUCCAGACCCUAGGAUAGGGCCAGACUCAGAGAAAGGAAAUGAUACAUGUUUGUGAAAUGAAGGAAUAAAGUACCUGCUUUGUUCCAAGACCAUGUAAAUAGCAGCUUUCCCUGUGUUCACUACGUUAAUGAUAACUCAGAUUCUUGGGUCAUAUUGUCCUGUGAAAUUGUACAGACUUUCACCUAUAAUUCAGGAUUCUCAGUCUCUAAUGACUGGCUGUACCCCAGAGACUGAUGGCUGGAGAUACAUGUACUUUGUAAAGCUAUUCCAAGAAGAUAGUGUCCCCUCUGUAGAGGCAUUGGCCGUGGAAGAACAUUCAGUGUUAGCCACUAUGAUGCAAGGAGAUGAAGAGGUCAGGCUCUUAUUCCACUCAAAUAUCUUCAUUGGUUGAGGUCCAUCCCAUAGAGAAAACAAUAUAUUGUAGUCAGCCAGCUAUUUAAAGGUAACCUUAUUCACAAAUAUCCUCACAGAGACACCUAUGGAAAUGGAGAAUCAGGUGGUCCAAUCAAGUUGAUGUAUAAGAUGAAUACCAUCAUCCAAAUGCCUGGAUCUCAUUGUUUGCCAUUGUUCACAAGCAAAUUGAGGCUCAUGGCCGGGAUGUCUGUUCUGUAGCAUAGAAGAGGAACCCAUCUCAGCCUCUACCUACCCAGCCUGACCCUAGAUACAUAUAUUAUUCACUGUGGAUGUACUUUUUCACAAAAUAUUCAUGCACUUUGUGGAAGAAAAAGACAUGAAGAAACAUUAAACAGUUAAGAAACUAGGUUUUGUUUUCUGUUUGGUCAGUUGGUUUUGUUUUAGGACUUUGUUUUAAAAGCUAAGUUCAAA